AUUGAACGCUGGCGGCAAGCCUAACACAUGCAAGUCGAACGAGUGGCGGACGGGUGAGUAAUGUUUGGGAAACUGCCUGAUGGAGGGGGAUAACUACUGGAACCGGUAGCUCAUACAGAAUACUAUCGGAUGUGCCCAGAUGGGAGUAGCUAGUGGGUGUGGUAAAGGCUCACGUAGGCGACGAUCCCGAGCUGGUCUGGGAGGGUGACCAGGCACUCUGGCACGAGGACACGGUCCAGACUCCUACGGUAGUCAGCAGUGGAGAAUAUUGCACAAUGGGCGCAAGCCUGAUGUAGCCAUGCCGCGUGUAUGAAGAGGGCCUUUGGGUUGUAAAGUUCUUACAGCGGUGAGGCGUUACCCGCAGAAGAAGCACCGGCUAACUCCGUGCCAGCAGCCGCGGUAAUAC
rnacentral:rRNA from 1 species